UACGUAGGUGGCAAGCGUUGUCCGGAUUUACUGGGCGUAAAGAGCGCGCAGGCGGUCGUUCAAGUCGAGUGUGAAAGCCCCCGGCUCAACUGGGGAGGGUCACUCGAUACUGAUCGACUCGAAGGCAGAAGAGGGAAGCGGAAUUCCCGGUGUAGUGGUGAAAUGCGUAGAUAUCGGGAGGAACACCGGUGGCGAAGGCGGAUCUCUGGGCCUUACCUGACGCUCAGGCGCGAAAGCUAGGGGAGCGAACAGG
rnacentral:rRNA from 1 species